AAUGUAUUCCUUCCACUCGUGAGCUCAUUUACUAUUGUCACAUAUAGUAAAUGUCCAGGCAUCCAGGGUCACAAGGCCUGGACAUUUACUAUAUGUGACAAUAGUAAAUGAGCUCACGAGUGGAAGGAAUACAUU
rnacentral:miRNA from 1 species